UAUUUCAUUCAAUUUGACUAGGAUUUUGUUGUCUGUAGCUAAUUGAUCAUCAUUGAUGGAGGAAUGUUAGGAAAUUAAGUUGUGUUAAAUACUAAAUAUAGACAAUUUGGUUAGGCAUAAGACGAAUGAAAAACGUUUGUUCUUAGAUGCAGGGCAGUAAGUUAUUUACUUACACCGAUGAAGUUAUAACUAACACUAGUUUCAUAUGGUUGAGUGAUUUACUUAUAUGUUUAUUUUAUCUGUUGGGAAUGCAGUUGUGGGGAUUAGCUAGUUCAACCAGCAAGUUCUUUUUCACUUUUAUGGGGUGUGUUAAGAAUGAAUGACAUUCAAACUGGGGAUUUGAUGCCAGGGCUUUUUAACUUUAUGGAGGGCAGGCGAUAAGGGUCGAAAAGAGCACCUUGUAGAUUGUCAUUUCUAGGAUGAGCAAUAAUGCCCUUCUGAAAAUUCAUUGGUUUGUCAGUGGUUGAUUUUUGACCAUCCGAGUUUUUAUCCUACAAUUUUUUGGGCUAAUUGGGAAAUCAUAUGGUGUUAAAUACUGUAUCUUACUUGGUAGUAUUUUACGAAAUAAUAUUUGCUUAUGAUUGACUUAACAAAACAGUAUCCGGUGUGCUUGUAUUAACCCUGCUGUGUUUUCGGAAGGCUUGCAAGUAAUUUCACAGCACAGAGGGCUGUUUUGUUAUUCUGUUUAGUUGGUUAUUGAUGUAGAACAGGCUGUAACUUGGACAGUUUUAAGUUUUUCUUUAUUUGUUCUUUAUUUUAAGUUUUUUUAAAAUUCUGUCUGUAGAACUUUAUUGUGUUUAAAUAAUUUGAAUUUACCCAGUUUGGGAAAUUCACGUUAUUUAGUGUUUUAGUAUAAAAGGGAGCUGAACCCUAUUUGUUUUGGUUGGUUGAUUCAUAAUUUAAAAAAAAAAUAAAAAAAUCUUUUGGUGAAGAUUUGUUCUUUCUUUACUUUCGUGUUGUGUCAGUUAUCCCUAAUAAAUUUUACAAUUGCCCUUUAUUAUUCUUUGACGAGGAGCUUUUGUGAAUCUGUGAUUUAAGCUGGCAGAAUUGUUACAUGCAGAUUUAAUAUGACCAAACAGAUCCUCUAUCUAGUCCUCUAAGUACUAUCUGUCUUGAUUUUUUUCUUAAUAGGUGGCUGAAGAUAGUGGUCACAUGUUGGAAGAGGAUUGAAGUUGGACUUGUUUUCAUUUCCCAUUUUGUUAUUUGAUUUAAUAAGAUCAACUUUGCCAUGUUCAGUGUUCAAUUUUGCCAUGUUUAGUGUUACUUUGUUGUGUAUUAAGUUUAGAGUGUGAGACUUGAUCUGAUAUGUAGAUGUUUAAUCUUUUGCUUUUGAUAUCGUUAUGCAUUCAAUGGCUUUACAUUUGGUGCCUGAAAUGUUUCGAAUAAAGAAGUUUCCUCAUAUAUAUAUAUUGUCUUAUUUAUUUAAUUUUUUUUGGGUCAAGUUUUCUAUUUUUAUGCUUUAACGUUUUUAUGGUUCGUUUCCUUAAUUUGAAAUUUUUGUACCAUUCAUUGAAAAAAGAAAUGUAACUUAAGAUGAUCAACUUAAAUUUUCAUCCGUUUCAUUUCUUUCAAUCUGAAGGUUUAUAUUUUUUUGUCAAAAAGCUGCAAUGAGUCACCUUUAUUCUUCUAUUAUUGAAAUGACUAGAUCAACCGAAUGAAAGUUUAAUUAAAAUAUUGAAUAGAUUAAAUGGAUGAAAAUUGAAGUAAAAUGUUGAAGUUAAGGAGCCCUAAAAAUUAUAGAAGAAACUCGAUAAGAGUAACGACCGUUGAAAAUACGUUAUCUUUUAUUUUAAUAAUUUAAGGAUUUUUAUAUUAGAAAAUUGCUUUAUAUAUAUAUGUGUGUGUUGAAAAUAUAUUAUUUCUUACUUAACAACUUAAGAGAUUUUAUACAAAAUUACACACACACUCCUUCUAAUAAGAGAAUUACUUAAUUUCAUGCAAAGUAAAGGAUAAAUUAAAAGUAAAAAACACAUAUUUUAAUAUACUAAAAAAUAAAAUAUACUAUUUUGGAGUGUGUUUUAUAAACUUUCAAUUUAUCUUUUACUUGAUUGAAGUAAGUGAUCCCUCGGUGUAAAAUUACUUCAUAUAUAUAAUAUAAUACACUAUAUUAGAGUGCGUAUUUUAAUUCUCUUUUAAUUUAUCCCUUAUCUUAAUGAUUUAAGAGAUCGUUUAUUAGAUAAUGACUCGUAUAUUUUAUUUUGACUUCAAUUUUUUACAUAAGUAUUAAGUUAUUGGUUUUUCACAAUUUUGAUCGUAGAUAAAUUAAUAUAUAAAUUAAUAUAAUUAGUGGUAGUUUAUAUGUGUGUAGUUUUUUUUUAAUGCGGGUGUCUUUAUUAUUUUUGCUUAGAUAUAUUUUUAAAUUAUGAAAUUUAAAAUCAUAUAUUUUAACCGCACUUAAAAAUAAUUAUAUAAAAGAGUAUGCAUGGAGUGGAAGGAUAUAAUUAUCAUAUCCUGAUUGAACAAACCACCAGGCCAGCUUGAUUCUUUCUGCUAACACUAAAUAAUUAAUUAAUCAUGUUUCAUUUUUAUUAUGAUAAUUCCCAGUUAAUAAUCAUGCCGUUAAAUAAGAAAAAGUAUAUGGCGUGGCCUCAUAAAAAAAAAAAACUUUAUUUUAAGUAGUGGAAAAGAACAGUAUAUUUAAAUUGGUCUCGGAGAAUGGUAGGUGAAUGAGGCCAAAUUAAAUUUGCGCGAAAAAUCCAAAAGCAUGUGAGACUUGCUCAAUUAUUGUAUUGUGUGUCCUACGCUAUAAUUAAAGCAAAUGAAAUCCCCGACAAUAUAUAUAUAUAUAUAUAUAUAUAUAUAUAUAUAUAUAUAUAUAUAUAUAUAUAUAUAAUCAAGUAGCCGGUCCAAAGCGCAUCAAAAAAGAAAAAGUUGUGAAUUAUUCCAAUAAAAAAAAAGUUGGAUUGUGACAGACACUACAUAUACUAAGAGGAUGGAUUAGGCCUUUUAAUAAAAUUAUUUGAUUGUUAAUGACGUCUUUUAUUUAAAAUUAUAAAAUUAUUUUAAUAAAUAAAUAUACUAAAAAUAUAUUAUCAAAGAAAUGAAAUAAAUAAGAGUAUUUUAAAAAAAUUAAUUAAAAAAAAACUCUACAACCUUAAAAGUCUAAAAAUUUAAACUUUUGUUAACAAAAGUAAAAUAAUUUAAUUAGUCUCUAAAAACUCAACUCAAAAUACGAUCUAACAAUAUCAAAAAUUUUGAAAAGAUCUUUAAAAACGAAAUAAAUAUUUUUAGGCAUUAGAUAAGUUAUAUUAAACAUGCAGUUAUUACAUAUAUAUAUAUAGAUGGAUUAUAAUUUAAUAUCAACUCCCAUAAUUAUUAGAGUUAAAUCUUCUCUUAUACUAGGAACAUUACCCACCCCACCCUUGGGGACUUGGAACUCAUAUCCCAAAUGUUGAGGGCAUGCGUUCUCACCUAUACCCUUAGAGGGAAGUCACCAUAAAUAUCUGUUUGCGGAAGAGCAAUAUUCACCAUACAAAGCCUCUAGUUAGAUAAGCCCUGUCCUUUUUAAGUUUUUCGUUUUUUUGAAUAUAUAUACACACACACACACACAAAUCAUAAUUGAAGCGCCAUAGAUAUAAUUAGGAGAACUUGCAACGAGAAGCUGCUGGCAUCUCCCACACAAGCUUGAAAAAGUAGCCAGUAAGAGUUGUGCACGGAGGGCAAAAAAAAAAAAAAAAGCAUGGGAAAUAAUAAUGUGAUGGGAUUGAGAGGUGGUAUCUUAGCAGCGAUCAUAGUUAUGAUGAUACUCUUCUUCUCCGCGAAUCAAUCUUGUGCUGCAGGCAACAUUACUAAUUUCCAUAUUGAUCCUGAUGUGUUGUUCUUUCAUGAUGAUCCAGAAUUGGAAUUGGCUGCUGCUCCGACUUCUAAUAAAGCAUUGGAUCCCAGUCAAGCAUUCGGUUGCGGCAGACCCGGAAGCAUUCGCUCUUGUCCCCCUCAUCCCAAUGCCCCCAAAAAGCCCGAUCAUUGCGCACCUGCCCCCGGCAGCACGUAUGCCCCAGCCAAACGAGAUUGCUAGCUAGUUUAUGAUACAUCUUUAAUCUUCAAUCUUCAUCUUUAUCCUCAACUAUGCCAUGAUGUGGGUUUAUUCUGCAUAUGCAUGUUGUAUUUAAUUUAUAUAAGUAGCUAUAAUUAAUUAAUAAUCUCUCUUUCCCAUCCCUUCUUAAUUCUAUCUGUCUAUAUAUAUUAUUAAUAAUUAAGCCUUAAGCUUGUACUGCUGCAUCCAUGCAUAAUUGCAUAUGCAUUAAUAAAUAAAUUAAUUGAAACUUCUAAUUUGUUUAGCACUAAUUAAUUCGUUGUUAAAUUAGCUAAGGUUACUCCAUCUUGAUGCUAUCGUUCAUGUUCACUCAUUUCAAUUCUACCAUACUCGUCCUGAAUUUAUUACUUUUCCAUGUGCGUGCGUGUUAACAGCCUGGAGAAGUAAUUGAUUAAUUGAUUAACCAUUGAUGGCAUUUUGCAUCGAGCUGGACAUACUCUUAAUUACCGGCCUCUUGAAGGGAAACCCGCUACGAUACAAAUCAAACAACUGAACGUACAACUUCAUUGCAUUUCCUGCAAUAAUGCCUAACAUUCAAUGAUUUACCUGCUCCCUCCCAUCAUGCCUUAAUUAAUUGUUAGGUUAUGAUUUUUUUAAUUAAAGAAAAAGAAAAAAAAUCAAGCCUUGCCUAAAAGCAAUUGGUAGUAAAAUUUUAGUGGAGAAUCUAAAGAAUGACAUAUCCGUCAUUUUCUAUGAUUUCUGUGAGGACCACUUUUUUUUUUUUUAAAAAAAAAUAAAAAUUCACGCUCAUCACAAGUUGAUUUGUUUUGUCAUUUGUGAUUGCGGGGUGUGUGUCUUCUUUUGGUUUGAUGCCUUACUGAUCUGAUCCGCAAUCUUAAACUUUAUUCAAAUUCAAAAAAAAUUAUAAAAUUAUAUGGUUUAAUUUUCAAUUUUUCCCUAUUUCUUUACUCGUAAAUUUUACAUUUUUUAAUAAAAGUUAUUAAAGUCUCGGAGCUAUUAAGGGUAUUUAUGACAUUUUCCUACUUGUAAUUAAUUUAAUCAUUAAAAGUAUAUAAGUUAUUUUCUCGAUUUAUAUUCAAACAUAUUUAAAUUUUAUAAAAAUAAAUUAAUGUCUUAGUUAAGCUUUCUAAUUUUUUUUCUGCUCGACGAAUUUAUAAAGACGUCGUUUUUAAGAAGGAAAUUAUUUCUCUUUAUCUUUUGACUGCUUGAUUGGAACUCGGGAAUUGACAAAAAAAAGGAAAGGAUCGAUGUUGAAGGAAAGAAUUGGGUAUGGAAAUAAAAUUGUGUGCCUUUAUAAUAAACUCAUUAAAAAUCAAAUUGAAUGAAUGAAUUAUUAAUAAUUAGGUUACAAUAUAAAAUGAAAUCUUAACCAUUCAAUUUUUUUUUCUAGAAAUUAAUUUUAUGAUUAGAUUAUUGAAAUCAAAAGAAAAAUUAGGAGCGGGAAAGCUAGUAGGGAAUCCAAAUCCUAUUCUUAUUAAUUAAUUAUAAGCUCUAUUUUUUUGAAUCAAGUCCAAAAUUUUCCUUGUUUUUUUUUUCUUUUUAAAUACCCAAAACUAAAAAACAGGGCAUGCACUCUGUUUAUAUUUCUAUGAAAUCGUUGUUCAUUAAGCAAAUUUCUUCCUCUAAGUUCAGAUAAUUUCAUGAUUUGUCACUUACUGCACCCAAUAAAAAGAUAAAGAAUCAAAAGGACAUCUUUUAUGUGUAAAUACACAUCAAAUCUCUUUUAUUAAUCAAUUUUUUUAUUAUUAAUAAAAUAGGCUACAUGGCAUAUUCUAUUUUUUUCUCCCUCAGCUAAAAUACUAAUAUAUUACCAAAUUAAGAAAAUUAGAUCUCCAGUGAUCGUCCGUGCAAUCUUUGGCUAUAUUAAAGUUAAGAAAAUUGUAUUAAAUAUUGAAUAUAGAAAAUUUUGUGGAACUAAUUAAGAAAGUUGUUAUGAAAGUUCAUAUCAAUUAUUUCUCUGAGUAAUACUAUGCAUGCAUAGCUAGGAUAACAAUAAAAUAUUUAAACUUGUGUGAUCAGUUAAAUAAAAUCUUGUAAAAACCUCUUGGGCAAGUCAUCGAGCUGUUUGAAUAGACUUUAUUUGUACACCAUUAAUGUAUUUUUUAGGGGUGGGCAUUUUCCGGUUCAGUUCGGUUCGGGUUCCAAACCGAACCGAACCAGAACCAAUUGGUUCUAAAAAAUUCAAACCAAACCGAACCGAAAUAUUUCGGUUCGGUUUGGUUCGGUUCUAAAAUUUGGUUCGGUUUGGUUUGGUUUGGUUUGGUUCGGUUCGCACAUAUUUAUAGAUUUUACAGUUUUAACCAAAUCUUACUACAUUUUACUGCAUUUUACAAUUUUCCCCUACAUUUUACAGAAUAUAAGUUCACAACAAGAAAAAUAAAACACAAUAAGUCUACAAUACACAAUCAACAACUUCAAAUACAAAGCCUUCAAGUAAAAAACAAAAUAACAAAAGUCCUAAUACAAAGCCAUCAAGUAAAUAACAAAAUAAGAGAAGCAACAAUUUCAUCCACCACGCACAUCAUCUACAUGAAAAUCCCAUACUCUAAACAAAACAAAAUAAGAGAAGCCUUCAACUUCAAUACACAAGCAACAAUUUCAUCCGCCACCCACAUCACCUACAUCAAAAUUCAAACUUUCAAAAUAAGCCAAAGCACUCAAUAAUUAAACUAAAUAAAAUAAAGCGAUUUAAUAAUUAAUUAAUAAAUAUAUAUCAAUUUAAUUACCUAAAAUGGUUUAUGUUCAACCGCAAUUUUCAUGUUGACCUACAAAGUUGGUCGACUGUUGUUGAUUUGCGAAGUUCUACAUACAAAAAUUGGACAAAUUGAACAAGGUUAGUAAUACUUAAAAAAUAAACUUAGAUUAAAAUUAAACAAAUUAUAUAAUAUUGAUAAUACUUAAAAAGUAAAUUAAAAUUAAAAUUUUACAAAAUAUACCUUCCGCAAGUUGAUCCAUAAACUCAUUGUCUUCAACUAAUUUAUUUAGGUCCGUCGUUGUAUCCACGAAAAGAGAAGUCCGCAACCAAUUCUGUAACAAUACCAAUGCUUCCACCAUGUCUGGAGUCAAAGAGCUUCUAUACUGAUCUAAUAUACGACCUCCAGUACUAAAGGUAGACUCAGAGGCAACAGUAGACACCGGAAUAGCAAGAACAUCCCUUGCUAUACUUGACAAGAUUGGGUAAUUGGCACUAUUCACCCUCCACCACAAUAAAAUAUCAAAUUUAGUGCCCAAAUGACUUUCUGCAAUUUUUUCAGUCUUCUCCAUCAAGUAAAGAUCCAACUCAUUUGAUAACUCCGGGCUACCUUCACUAACCACAGCCGCUUUACUAAAUUCGGAGAAAGGAUCCUCAAUCAUAACAUCAUCAUCACAUCCAAAUCCCAAAAAUGCGAACCACUUCCACUUCCACUAGUUAAAUUUUGGCUCUCGCUUGUGCUUCCGCUUGCACUUCCACUUGUACUCCCACUUCCACUCGGUUUGUAUUGUGCAUUAUAAGACUCAUAAAGCUUAAUCAAUAAAUUCUUGAUCAUUUCCUUCAUCUCAACACAUUUGGCACUAUCCUUGCCAUAUAAUUUCUCAAAGCAAUGUGUUGCGAAUUUCAUUUUUCCUCUUGGAUCAAGUACGGAAGCAACAAUCAACAACUUAUUUAUCUUGAAACAACCAUCCCAAUACUUAUUAAAUUUUUCCUUCAUUUUAAUUGCCAUGAAACUCAAAAGACUAUCGUUACUAGUGGACAAUGAUCCCAAAGAUUGUUCAAUUUGACAUAUCAAAUUGUAACAAAUAUUUGAUGUCACCUAAAAAAAAAAUAAUGUUAAUAAAGCUAAAAUAAACUUCAUCAUAUUAUUAUAUAUCAAAAAUUAAAAAAAUAUAGCUCAUAAAAAAAAUAUAGCUUAUAGAAUUUUUUUAAUUAUCUUUUAUAUUCUAUUAUAUAAAUAAAAACAAUGUUAAUAAAGCUAAAAUAAACUUCAUCAGAUUAUUAUAUAUCAAAAAUUAAAAAAAUUUAAUAAAGAUUUAAUGUUACCUUCAAAGAUGAAGAAAACUGCAAAGUCGCAUCAUGAAACGUCUUUAAAAACUUAACUAUACGUCGAGUAUUUUCCCAAUCACUGUACAAUGGCGGUCCCUCCCUUUUCUUCUUUCCACCCUCUUUUUCAUUGAAAUAAGCAUCAUAAAGCUUAUCUUCAAGUGCCAUUCGAUCAAAUGCCGGCUUAAAUUUUAAUGCCGUAUUCAACAUGGAAUAUGUUGAAUUCCACCUAGUGGGACAAUCCAAAAUCACACUUCCUCGACAUUUAAUCUUCUCUUGUUGCACACGAAUUUGAAAUGCUUGCAUCCUAGCAGUGGAAGAUCUCACAUACUUCACCGCAUUCCGAACACUAACUAUACUCUGCUCUAAUUCCUUCAACCCUUCAGUAACGAUCAAAUUCAAUAUGUGUGCACAACAACGAACAUGCAAAUAAUCUCCAUUCAACACUAAGCCAUCAUCCCUCCAAGUCUUCACUCUAUCAAUCAAGUACCUAAGAGCACCCUCAUUUGGACUUGCAUUGUCAACACUUACAGUAAACACUCGCUCGAUACCCCAAUCAAUUAAACAUUUUUCAAGUUGCUUACCAAUGGUCUCUGAUGAAUGAUCAUUAACAGUGUUAAAACUGAUAAUCUUCCUAUGUAAGUUCCAAUCUCUAUCAAUAAAGUGAGCGGUGAUGACCAUGUAGCUAGCUGUUGUAAUGGAAGUCCAAAUAUCCGUGGUCAAAGAUACUCUCUGCUUAUUCCCCGCUAAUAAACUCUUCAACUUAACCUUUUCCUCCAAAUACAUCUCAAGAGUAUCCAUACUAAUGGUUCUUCGUGAUGGGAGAAGAUAUCUCGGAGUUACAACACUAUAGAAAUGCCUAAAACCCGCAUUCUCCACAACAAAAAAAGGCAAUUCAUCAAGAACAAUCAUUUUCACGGUUGCCCGUCUACAAGCUUCUUGACUAAAUCCCCUUGCUACAACUUCAUCACUACCAACAUCUUGAGUUAAUAUUGUUUGGUUUUUUUGCAAGUCCUUGAACUUUUGACAUCUUUCACGAUUAUGAGUUCUCAAAGUGCUAGUCCCGUACCCGACCGUCCCACAUUCAAAUUCUUGACCACAGUAGUUGCAUUUACACUUUGUAUGAUCAUUUGGAACUCUAGUGAAAUGUUGCCACACUGGUGAUCUUGGAGCCAUUUUUUUCCUUGGUAGUGGUGGUUUGGAUGAGGAUGACUUUUUUCGCUUGUUUCCACCAGUGACAAUUGUUGCCGAAUCAUUUUCAUUAUCAUUAACUUCAACUUCAUGUUCCAAAUAAUCGGCUACACAAUCAAGGUUGUCUUGAACUCUUGAAUAAUUAGACAUCUAAAAUAAAUCAAAUAAAAAGAAAUAAGAAAAAUGAUUUAUUUAAUAAUUUGAAGUAUUGAACUGAAUUAAGCACAUUUGGAUAAUCUCAAUCUACUUUCCCAAGCCAUUACAGAAAUGUUAAACAUAUCACUAUUACUUGCACAAAAUCCCAAUUUACAUACAUGCCUAGAGAGGUUCAGAUAUAUGGUGCAAUAGGUGCAUUCCAGGAAAAAUUAGUUAUCUUUUAACUACAUAAGUUCUGGCUAGUCACAGUUUACCCAUCAAAGUUAGAUAUUGUAAGUGUUCACUGUUGCAUAUCAACUUAUAGUAACAAGCUAAUUUAAAAAUCUAUGAUGCCAUUGCGAUGAAGAUCAUAAUUUUUAGGCGACCAAGUCAAUAAAAAAACAGUACAUAAAAAUAUAAAAUGGCAGGUCAUGCUAAGCAAAGAUGUCCGAAAGGAAACAUUCUCAUUUUUCUGUAUCCAAAUUCCGAAUUCAUAUCAAUAUUCUCACAAUAUACAAUUAUACAACUAUUUACAUAUCAAUAUUCUCGGUUUCUCACAAUAUACAAUUACACAACUAUUUUACUUGUACAAUUCCACACUGCCAGCAACCGAUAUACACAAUCACCAACACCUCCAAAAAUUUAACCCCACAUAAGCUUCAAUUCAAACACAGAGGCCACAACAUAGAUUAAACAAAAUAACCUGCAGCAGUGAGGGGAAGGGCUGUGCUGCUACUGAGGGGCUGUGCGAGGAAGAGAUCGUGAGGGGCUGAGCCGAACCGCACCGUGCACGCGCAGAGGGGGAAGAUACUACCGAGGGGUGGUGUCGCCGUUGAGGAGUUGUGCUGUGAGGAGGGAGAGACGCGAGGGAGAGGCGCGAGGAAGAGAUCGUGAGGGGCUGAGCCGAACCGCACCGUGCACGCGCAGAGGGGGAAGAUACUGCCGAGGGGUGGUGCCGCCGUGAGGAGCUGCGCCGUGACGAGAGAGAGACGCAAGGAGAGGCGUGAGGGAGAGAGGCAAGGGCAGCAGUAGUAUGCAAUCGUGAUUUAGGCCUUAGGGUUUUGAAUUUUUAUUACUGAAAUUGAUUUUAAAUUUAUUAUUUCACUUUAAUUUUUAAAUAUUUUGUUAAAUUGAACCGAACCGAUUGGUUUUUCGGUUCGGUUCGGUUUAAAACCGAACCGAAUAAAAACCAAUCGGUUCAGGAUUUUUUAAACCAUUUGAUUUUUGCUCAUAGAACCGAACCGUUUGCCCACCCCUAGUAUUUUUAUUCAAGUACUAGCUUUGGGUAUGAUGAGUACCAUAUUCAUUUCCUUAUCUUUUGAUUUUGUUUUCUUUAAUCUUUAGUUAAUUUCUUUUUUCUUUUUAAUUUUGUUAUACACAUAUUGUUACUGAUAUUACAUCAGACAUUACAAUUAUAAUAUUUACAAUCAUACUAAACAACUGAGACCACUGACAUACAUUAACCCACUGAAGCACUUGUCCAAAUACUUUAAACCCUCUCUAAUAUUCGAGGCUGUCUCCACUCAAUUAAUUGAUAAUUGAGAAAGAACUGAAAUUAACCUCUAUAAUACUUUUAUGGAGGUUCAAACUCUUACACUCAAUAUUGUAAGUGCAAGACUUCUCUUAUUGGACCAAAGGCCCAUGGUAAUCUUUAGUUAAUUUCACGGAACAACAAAAGCAACUUAAAAUCCCACUUUACUCUUUCCACAUGGGCCGUCAUGAUGGUGUUUUUUACUGCACUUGUUACUUCCACUAAACCCUUUUAAAGAUUGCAGAUCUCUUUGUUUGAGUUAAAGACUUAAAGUUGUAUUAAGAAAGUUGUAUUAAAUAUUGAAUAUAGAAAAUUUUGUUGGGCAUCGGACAGACGAAUGAAAAACCAUUUGUUCUUGAACAUCUUUUCGUAGUUUCAAAUAGAAGUGAGAGAGCGUUGACGCUAAAAGGACCGGCAGGCUUAACAUUUUUCCAUGAGAAUUACGUGUUAUGUGGAACUAAUUUUAAUUUACUUCUGUCAUCUUGUUACAGUGUUAGCUCUUUGUUCAUGAAUCGAUUAAUAAGUGCGUUUUUUCACUCAAAAGUUUUCAUCUUAUUAACUUGGAUCAUCUUUUUCCUUUUCUUUUUCUCCUUGUUGUCUUCUAUUACCUACUCUCUCUCCUCAAUCCUUUCUGAAAAUUCAUUCAUUUGUCAGUGUUUGAUUUCCUACAAGCGGAUUUCUCAUCCUACAACUUUUUUUGGGCCUGAUGGGUCCAUCUCAUUGGGUGGCCCAAGCUCAAGCUUCACUAAUUUUAAAAAUUUAAAUAAUUAAAGAAAAUCAGUGGGGCUAAGUGAAAUUAGUUAAUAGAAAUCAUUAGAAAUUAAUCAAUAGAAAUCAUUAGAUAAAGAAGAGCAAAAGCAAGGGACUGGUAAGGAUGGUAACGGGCACCGUUUGCAAUGGGUUUGUUAUUACCAAAUUUAUAUUCACAUAAAAAUUAAAUUAUCAAACUCAACUCGAAAUCUAUUGCAAGUUCUAUUUUUUUUUUAAAUCCACCCGCUGCAAGUUUUGACAAAUACCAAAUUCGUAAUGGUAUUCAGUGGAUUUUUUUUUUUUGCAGGUUUUCACAUUUAAAAUCACAAAUAUUCAAUAUGAAAAUUUAUAAUAAUAACGUAAAAUUCCACAUAAUAUACUUAAUUUUAAAUUUAACCAAUGUAAAUGGAAAAUUAAAAUUUCAACAUCAAUCCAACACAAAUUCUCAAAUUAAAGUAUGAAAUACACAAAUCAGUAUCUAAAUAUAACAAUUAUUAUCAUUUUAUAUUAUCAUUCAACACAUGCUUCUAGAGAAGUUCUUCAUUUUAUUCACCACUAUUAGCACCCAUCCAAUAUGAUUCCUACAAUUAUGAUUAAAAUUAAUAUUUUCUAAAGAAUAAUACAUCGAACUACUUCAAAAUCACUGGUUCCAACUGAACAAUUGCACUAUCACAAUCUUCAAGAACACCACCCGUAUGGCUUCCCCUGUUCCCAUCGUUGCCGGUUUCAUAAUCACCACUUUUCGAUAGGUGCAACAGCCCUAGUGAAGGAUCAAACUGUGUUUGGUUUCAGAAACUUCGUCAUUUCAAUUAAUGGUGGCUUUAUUUGAACAAUUAAUUUUGGUGUUAUAUUAGUGUAUUAUUGUUACUUUAUUUGAACAAUUAAUCUUAGUGUGUUAUAUUUUGAAACUUUGAACGUAUUAUUGUAGUUUUAUUUCAACAAUUAAUCUCGAUGUGUUAUAUUUUAAAACUAUGAAUGUAUUAUUUUAUCUUUAUUUAAACAAUUAAUUUGUUUAAAUUUUAUUCAAUUUUAAAUUUAAUAGGUAGUAAAAUUAUUUUUAUAUUAGAUUAUUUUUAUUUCAUUAGUUUAUGGUAGGGAUGUCAAUUUUUCCCAAUGGGAUGGGAUCCUGCGGGAUCCCAACCCAUUUGGGACGGGAUUGGGACAUAUUUUUGUCCCAUAAAAAAAUUUAGGACGGGAGUGAGAUAUUUUUUUAUCCCACUUGCAUACACGGGACGGGAGUGAGAUUGGAAAAUUCCGUCCCAUCCGUCUCAUUGCCGACUAAGAAUGAGAAUUUUUUCAAUUGGGAUGGGAUCCCACAGGAUCCCAUCUCUUUUGGGACGGGAUCGAGACAUAUUUUUGUCUAAAAAAAAAAUAGGGAUGAGAGUGUGACGUUUUUUCAUCCCACUUGCAUAUACAGGAUAAGACUAGGAUUAGUAAAUCCCAUCUCAUCCCGUCUCAUUGCCAACCCUAGUUCAUGGAUUGGAGAGAACUAAAAAUUUUUAAUUCGGAAACUAAUGCGCAAAAUGGUGGAUUGGAUAUGGAUUAAGUUAAAUCCGCAUCCGAUCCACAGACGUAUGGAUUGAGUCAAAUCCGCAUCCGAUCCAUAGAUGUAUAGAUUGGAUUUGGAUUGAAUUUAAUCAAUCUGUGGAUUGGAUUGGAUUGAAAAAUUAUAAUCCACAAAAUCGUGGAUCAGAUAUGGAUUGAUGUUGCUAGAGUGCAAUUUAUGCACUAGUUUUACAUUGUUUACUUCCUUUAAUAUCGAUGUUUUGCACUUAAUAAUAGUGAUUUACUUGUGUUUUAUUUCUGUAGGUGCAAUUCUAUUGAUUGGUGCUAAAAUUGAGCUUCAGAAGAACUUUGUUGAUAAGGCGUAGUCGCGUGCUAUCAACUACGGACCUGCAGUUUUUAGUUUAACGUGUUUUGUCUUUUUGGUUAUUUUUGUAAUUAUGAAUUUAAUAUUUAGAUAAUAUUUUAGAUAUUAGUAUUUUAUUUUAAAAAGAACUCUAGAGGAGAAGAGAAUUUAAGAGAGGAAUCUAUUGUGAAAAGGGGAGAUUGUCAAAACCCUAGAUCUAAAUUUUUCUCUUCUCUCUAUGAAGAACUAAACCUAUUAUUCUGGUUGAAGGUUAAUGAAGUUUUAAUUCGUCACUACUGUGAGAUCUUUCUUAUGCUUUAAUUGUUUUAUUACUUUUUGGGUAUUUGUUUAUUCUCUGAAUUUUUGUCAUGAUUAUGUUUGUUAAUUAGAUAAUUGGCCUCUAUUUAAUUAUCAACUUAAUCUAUUGUCAAUUAAAAGAUUCAUCGUAUGAAGAUUUUAAUGUUUGUGACAAAUAGCAUAGCAGUGCGUUGUGUUAUGAGAAUAAACAAUCUAAUUUCAAUGAACCAUCGUAUGCAUUUGUUGAUUAGGAUUUUGGUCUCUCUGGUUUUUCAGGCUGUCAAUUGAUUAAAUCCUGUGAUCAUAUCUAGGGUUGUCUAUUGAUUAGGGAAAUAACCUACGGUCGUACCUUGGUUAUCGACUAGUUAAGGAGAGAUUGGCUAUUAGAGGGUCUCAGUAGCUAUAACCGGUCUAUUUAUAAGUAGUAAUGAUUUAUAUUUGAGUCAAUGAUCAGUAGUCGAAUCAAGCUGAGUUAAUUCCUUCAACCAGAGCUUUUACCAAUUUGAAUUACAAUUUGAAUUUGCAUUCUUGUUAUUUUAAUUUGAUUUUUAUUAUUGUCAACAAUUCCCCCUUUUUCAUUUUACAUUUUAAAAGGAUUUAAAUAAUUACCGAUCUCUGUGGACACGACUCUGCUCAAUCACUAUACGCAAUUUAUUUAGAGUAGAUAUUUAUUUUUGCUGGCUUCGACAACCAUCAAAUUUUGGCGCCGUUGCCGGGGAUUGGUGUCGUUUAUUUAAUCAUUUUUACGUUUUACUUGGUGUAUGGUUCGUUCUUAUCGUAUAGGUACACUUUCAUUUGAUCGUGAAAUUUUAGAAGACAGCUCACCAGUUGAGACAACAGACGAAGCGAGCUAAGCAACGAUCCUUGUCGCCUUUGCUUUCUGAAACAGAUACGGUACCUGAUUUGGUUGAAUCAUUUAGAAAUUCAGAAGAACAAGUGAUGGAUAGAGGUGAACCUGUAGAAAGAACUCUCAGAGAGUUAGCUGAACCAGACUUGAAUCAGCAACCACUCUGCAUUCAAUAUGUAGACUUGGAGGUAAAUUUUGAAUUAAAGUCUGGUCUUAUUCAUUUAUUACUCAAGUUUCAUGAUUUUGCAGGUGAAGAUCCUCAUAAACAUCUCAAGGAGUUUCAUGUUGUAUGUUCAAGUAUGAGACCACAAGACGUGACUGAAGAGCAGAUCAAGUUGCGUGCUUUUCCUUUCUCUUUAGAUGGGCUAGCUAAAGACUAGUUGUACUACAUGCCUCCUGGAUCGAUUAUAACGUGGAAUGGUUUGAAGAAGCAGUUCAUUGAGAAGUACUUUCCUGCUUCAAGAGCUGCCAACAUCAGAAAAGACAUUUGUUGGAUCAGACAACUUCCUGGGGAGACUUUGUAUGAGUAUUGGGAGCGAUUCAAACAAUUGUGCGAUAACUGUCCUCAACAUCAGAUUUCUGAUCAACUUUUUAUUCAAUUCUUUUAUGAAGGACUGUCAUUGAUGGAUAAGAGUAUGAUAGAUGUUGCUAGUGGAGCUGUAUUGGUAAACAAGACCCCUACUCAAGCAAGGGAGUUGAUCUCAAAUAUGGCUGCCAAUGCACAAUAGUUUGGCAGCAGGCAAGAUCCCACUUCAAGGAAGGUGAAUGAGGUAAAUAUUUCUUCUGUUGAACAACGUUUAGAUAAACUUACUUCUCUUGUGGAAAAAUUUGUGGUAAGUAAUGUGCAACAGGUGAAGACUUGUGGCAUUUGUUCCAAUAUGGUUUAUUCAACUUAUAUGUGUCCUACACUUCAAGAAGAACCCGUUGAACAAGCCAAUGUAGUUGGAGGAUUUCCAGGCAUGCUUCAGAAGAGGUAUGAUCCUUAUGCACAAACAUACAAUCUAGGAUGGAAGGAUCAUCCCAACUUCAGCUAUGGAGUUAGGCCGUCAGGAUUCCCAUAACAAUAUCCACCAAGACAACUAGCACCUUCACAGUCAAACUCCAAGUCAAGUAUAUCUCUUGAAGAAAUUGUUAAAUCACUUGCGGCUAACACUCAAUAAUUUCAACAUGCAACUACAACAAGCAUUCAUAAUUUGGAGAACUAAAUGAGUCAAUUGGCGACUACAAUGAGCCGUCUAGAGUCCCAAGUAUCAGGGAGAUUGCCUUCACAAUCUGAGGUGAAUUCAAAGCAAAACGCUAAUGCUGUCAUCUUUAGAAGUGGGAAGGAGUUGUAAGAGCCUGAUAAAAAAGUGACAAAGCAUGUAGAAGAUGAGCUUGAGAAGAAUGAAUUAAUGACUAAAUCUCAAGAUGCGCAACCCACCAGAGCAAAACCUCUACCUGUGGUGAUACCUCCUCUUUUUCCAAGCUGGUUUGCAAAAUCGAAGAAGGAGGAACAAGAAAAAGACAUCCUUAAGAUAUUUCGCAAGGUUGAGGUAAAUAUUCCUUUAUUAGAUGCUAUAAAAUAAAUACUUCAAUAUGCUAAAUUCCUUAAGAAACUGUGCACCUCCAAGAGAAAAUUAAGAGGAGAUGAAAGAGUUCACAUGGGGGAGAAUGUUUCAGCAGUUCUCCAAAAGAAACUACCUCCUAAGUGCAAGGAUCCAUGUAUGUUUACUAUCCCUUACAAAAUUGGUAGUAUUAGAGUUGAGAAGGCUAUGUUAGAUCUAGGAGCUUCUAUUAAUGUCAUGCCUCAUUCCAUUUAUUCAUCUUUGAAUGUUGGUCCAUUAAAAGAAAUUGGCGUGAUAAUUCAAAUAGCUGAUAGGUCUAAUGCAUAUCCAGAUGGGGUAUUAGAAGAUGUCUUAGUACAAGUUAAUGAGUUGGUUUUUCCUGCUGAUUUUUAUGUACUUGAUAUGGAAGAGGAUAACUCCUCUAAUUCUGUCCAAAUUUUGCUAGGAAGACCUUUUCUUAA
rnacentral:lncRNA from 1 species